rnacentral:sRNA from 2 species
GCCCGGUGUGGCGAUCGCUGAUUCGAACAACCUGCUACGUCCGUAACAUGAAUGCGAUUUUGAUUUUUGGCCUCUGUGCUAGCAAGCACCUUAAACAUCCCUCUCACACGAACUAGCUGAUUCGGCAGGCGGAAAUUCUUGUCCGGAUUCUUAUCUGAUCUUCGUUGCUUUUUCUCCUUCAAGUUACCCCGGUUAACCACGGAGUAUACCCUGUUUUAAAUGAACCCCUCCGCCUCAGGCUCGGCCCUGCAGCACGGUUGCGCUACGGCCGCUGAACCCACACAACAGUCAAUCGCAUCUUCAACGCAAACACAUUCCUUGAA